UACACCCAACGUGGGGCUUGAACCUACAACCCUGAGAUCAAGAGUCACACACUCCACUGACUGAGCCAGCCAGGUGCCCCUGGAAUGAGUUAUUCUAAGCUGAGGUUUUGGAUGUUUCUUUCUUCUUUGGGGGAUGUAGGUGGGGAGAGAGAGCCCUUUCAAUAAUACACAUUAACUUUUGCCAUAAAAUUAUUAGAAACAAUGAGUGUUUUUUUUCUUUUUCAGUGGACAAGGCCUUUGUAAUCGUGUCACACCUCUAAGAAGACCUCAGGGAAAAGAGUAGAUUUUGUGAAAAAAAAUUAGAAACUUCUGGAUGGAAAGAAAUAGAAUUGAUAGAGUAAAUAGACAAAUGACAAAUGGGGGAAAUUCUCCAACAUAUGAAAGACCAAGGGACAAUUCUUUAAUAUUCAGAGAGCUCUUAGAAAUGAAAGGGAAAGAGGCAAAAUGCUUUGUAGUGAAACUGACAAAGGACAUGAGCAGGCAGAUCACCGGAAAAGAAAGCCAAAUAGAUGAUUCCAACGUCUACACAGCAGCAGAAAUUCUGCCAGAUCUCAAAAACAGCCAGUUUGCUGUGCCACAAGUUUUCUCCAUCAGCAUUCCAGAAGAGCCAGCAAUGACAGCUGGUGUACUUCCGUUUAUGGUAUGGUGAGAAACAUGCAGCUCCCAUGGUUCGUGAACCAAACCCCACUCCAGCAAGCCCAUGUGUUCAUCCAGGGGAGUGGAAGACAGAGACAGUAGCCACCUGUCCCUGAGGAGG